UACAGAGGGUGCAAGCGUUGUUCGGAAUUAUUGGGCGUAAAGGGCGCGUAGGCGGUGCCACAAGUCACCUGUGAAAUCUCCGGGCUUAACUCGGAGCCUGCAGGCGAAACUGUGGUGCUGGAGUGUGGGAGAGGUGCGUGGAAUUCCCGGUGUAGCGGUGAAAUGCGCAGAUAUCAGGAGGAACACCAAUAGCGAAGGCAGCUCGCUGGGACGUUACUGACACUGAGGCGCGAAAGCGUGGGGAGCUAACAGG
rnacentral:rRNA from 1 species